rfam:Phaethon lepturus contig103142, whole genome shotgun sequence.
CUGAGCUAGUGAUGAUAAAUGUUAUCCCUGUCUGAAAUUAAUCUUUCCUAUGUGGAAGCAUGACUCUGAGGCUCAG